ACGCACGCUGGCGGCGUGCUUAACCCAUGCAAGUCGAACGGAAAGGCCCUGCUUUUGUGGGGUGCUCGAGUGGCGAACGGGUGAGUAACACGUGAGUAACCUGCCCUUGACUUUGGGAUAACUUCAGGAAACUGGGGCUAAUACCGGAUAGGAGCUCCUGCUGCAUGGUGGGGGUUGGAAAGUUUCGGCGGUUGGGGAUGGACUCGCGGCUUAUCAGCUUGUUGGUGGGGUAGUGGCUUACCAAGGCUUUGACGGGUAGCCGGCCUGAGAGGGUGACCGGCCACAUUGGGACUGAGAUACGGCCCAGACUCCUACGGGAGGCAGCAGUGGGGAAUAUUGCACAAUGGGCGGAAGCCUGAUGCAGCAACGCCGCGUGCGGGAUGACGGCCUUCGGGUUGUAAACCGCUUUCGCCUGUGACGAAGCGUGAGUGACGGUAAUGGGUAAAGAAGCACCGGCUAACUACGU
rnacentral:rRNA from 1 species